UUGCGUCAUUUGCUCACCGGAGUCCUUGGCCCCCUCUUCUUUUCGCCGGAGAUCGCCAUGGCCGCCUCGGUUCCUCCUCGGUUCCGGCGAGCCUAGCCUCCAUCUCCUCCUCCAGGGUUGUCCAUCGCGUUCCUCUCCUCCCCGCGAUCCCCGAGUCCGUCCGUCGCCUCCAUCUCUUGGCCGUUUCUUCAUCUAGCCUCCUCGAGCUUCCUCGCGCCCUUUUGACCACACCUCCUGGAGGUCCGCCCCACACCAUCAGCCUUGCCGAAGUCGUCCCACAUCAUCGUCAACGGCCGCCGCCCGUCCACUCCUGUCGCUGUCUGUCUUCGGUCAUCACCGUCGUUCCUGGCCGCCCCGGUGCCCUUGCUCCCCGAGAACGGACGUUCCGCUCCGCUGCGAGCCCGUCGGUGCUUGCGCCCUGGCCGGAGCUGGCCUGGGCCGGCCACCCUUCUCCGCGCCCCUCCUCUGCUCUAUUCUGUUCCGCUCGGGAACGAAUAGGAACGAUGGGAGGAGGAUGACGAUGCCCAUCCAGCUAGCCAGGCGGGCCCCGCCUCCCCUCUUGGCCCCAUGCAUAAGUGAGAUAUCCCCGGGCCCAACUCUGUUAAGUGCAAGCGUAUUUGUAAAAAUACGUUUUUGUUUUAAAGAAAGCGUAUUCCUUCCUUCUUUUGUCAUAAAUGCGCUUUCCCUUCUGGAAAGCGUAUUUCCUUUAACUGCAGCUAAAAAUACAUUUUCCUAUUCAGAAAACGUAUUCAUCAGAAGGCGCUUUCUGUUUUCUAAUCCAGGGACCUGUUUGCUGAAGAAAUAUUCACAGAUUGGUCCUUCUCCUUCCACCCUUCAUAACUUUUCAACCGUAGAACCGAUCGAGGUGAAACCAACGCUCACUUCUUCGUCUCGUCAAGCUCUUUUUGUUGGUAGCAUUUUGACUAGGUGGUCCCAUAGUGAAAACGGCCAUUUUGCCCUUGCCUCUAAUCAGCCCCUCCGAGAGAGAACCGUCUGGUGUUUCAUUUCUGCGGCUUCACCGCACUUCUUCGCGGAGUCUCCGUCACCCCCAAGCAAGACACAACAACCAUUUGUAUGAU
rnacentral:lncRNA from 1 species